CUGACAGGCCUAGAGUCCUGUCUUUUUCCACAGAAUAAGCACAGCACAGGUAGCAGCAGCACAAUCUUCCCCGCGCAGCUCUGUGCCAACCUGCCUCCACCCUGAGACGGAGGGACCAUCUCCUCCCCAGAUGACCCAGCAGCUUCCAACCGUAACUGCUUCCAGCAGUGGCUGUG
rnacentral:sRNA from 1 species